rnacentral:lncRNA from 12 species
AUGAGGACUCAGCGGAGAAUGGGCUCAAUUCAGCUACCAGCCUCCACUACCUGCAGCCCCCUCUACCAACACAUGCUCCAGGUAUCAACAUGCAGUGUCCCUGAAGGACCUGACUCUGGUGGUCCUAGGUGGUUUCUGAUGUCGAUGAGUGGCCCGCUCUCCUUAUCUCAGCCAUGGAGACCACUACAGAGCCACCCGAUUUCACUGCUGCUGCCACGAAGGCCAUCACUAAGUGAUCUGCUCUUCUUGUCUCAGCCAUGGAGGCCGCUACGGAGUCCACUCAAGAACCUGCUCCAGUCCAGGAGCCUUCAGAGUCCACUUAGGAAUCCACUCCAGUUCACGAGUCUGCUCCAGAGCCUACUCCUACUCAUGAGUCUGCUCAACCAUGGUGGUCAAUUCUGUCAUGGUUCUGCUGGUGUGCCCUGGUUGGCCACCAGAUGUCACUGUUUUUUACUGCUUGUUGUUUGCUGUUAAUGCCAUGUGCUCUCCUGUCUAUUGUCUGACCCCACCCUUCUUGUUAUCUCAUUGUUUCAGUUGCUCCACCUGUGUCUUCCUCAUUACCCUCCUCAAUUGUCUCCCGAUUUAUUCUCCUGGUUUCUGCAGUCCUUUGCUGAUCCUAAUCACAAAAAUAUCAAAGUACAAAUUAUAAAAGUUCACUGUAAAGGUCCUUUCAAGGUUCUUUACACACAGUAACAUUUCUAUUAAGAACCAUAUCAUCCUGAAGAACCCUUUUAUGCAAAAAAAAAUCUCCUUUUUGUCAAAGAUUAUUCAGGUAAUAACUGUUAUAGAGCACUGUUUUUUUUUUUUUUUCUACAAUUCCCCCUUGACGCAAGAAAAAUAAAAACACAUAAUUCAGUCUUGCUGUCAGUUUUCUUUAAUGUAAACCCUAAUAUGAGACCAGGCAGAUAUGGAUACAAAAAUUAAACGUGAAAUUUGAAAAUGAAAAACUAAGUAUUUUCUUGUAAAACAUGCUGUUUUAUUUACAGCUUUGAAAAAAAUUACAAAUAAUUUUUACAGUGCACAUAUAAUAAUACAUUAAUAA